AUAAACAUAGAUAACAUGUUUAUUUAUCUAAAAUUUGGAAAUACUGAAGAUCACAUUUGAUUUGUGGAUUAACCAUGUGCUGAUCUACUCACAUACCUCUGACAUUUCAUUAUAUCAAGUGAAUAGAGAGAGAACCUAAGAGGCUGGUGAUAUCUCCUACUCUACACUUGUCAGGAAAAAGUGGUAUAUUUUUUGUCAAGAAAACCCAAACAUCAGCAAAGACAUAUACACUCCACAAAACAGGAAAGGACAUCUCAUUUGAAGGGAAAAGUUAUCAGAGUGUGAGAAAAAUGAGUUUGCCACAUUCCAAUAUUUGAGGGACAUGAGACUGAACUUCAGAAGAUAUAAUGGGAAGGGACAGGCAGAAUCCCCAAGGAAUCAAACUACGCUUAGCACUGGAGUUCCUCAUUACAUGAGAGCUCAGAUAUUGGUAAGGAUGGUAAACAUAAUGAUAAGAACUUUGCAGUCCAUACUCAGUCUCAAUAUAAGGCAACAAUGUGAACAAGAUGAAAAGUAGUCACCACCACAGUGCUAACAGCUACUUUAGCAGUGACAUUGUGAGAAACAGAGUGUAACUAUAGAGAGAAGAAAAGGUAGAUAUUUGAAAACAGACUAGGCUCUGCUGGAAAUGAACAAUUUUCCAUGAAAGUAACCAAGCAAUCACACCAAAGGUGCCAUAUGCAAAAAUGAGCAAAGAGGGAUAAACUGUAUAAAUACUAUGUGUACAGAAAUACAGGUAGUUUGUUGGAAUUCUAUGAUGUUGAGAUUAAAGAAUAGGAAGGAAUUUCUAUCAAGUCAGGCACCAUAUCCUGUUCUUAGAAUACUCACAUUCAAGAGACUGAGACAGAGAAAUUAGGAAUUUCAGGUUAUCCCGGACUACAUAUCAAGACAAUACAUCUUUUAUUCUUUUUUUUCUUUAUUUAAAUCAAAAGUCUGGUUGAUAGAAUAUCACGAAAAAUAUUAAGAAAAUAGAAAUUUAACGCCUAUGCAGUGAUACUCCUGCUAAAAAACAUGUUCUAUAAAGAGACGUUAAUUAUUAAGUUACAAAUACCAUCUGUCAUAUUGAAGGUUGUGGCACGAAGGGGUAUGGUGUUGUUUGGUUGAUCAUUCUUCACUUCCAUGUCUCACUUUACACAUCUUAAAAAGCUUCUCUGAUGACCUCCUUACUGUGUAGAUAUCAAUAUGUGCCUUGCCUUUAAUUCUAUGUAUUAAAACCAGUUAUCAUUUAUUUAUCAAAUGAUUAUUUGAUUUUGCAUUAUCUUCAAAAAUAAUGGGUCUUGAGGAAUUUAUACCUUUAUUGUGUGGGUUUGAAUAUUCAUAAUAGCAAUCAGAGAAUAAUCGGGGCCCAACACACACACAUGGUGGUUGGAGAGACUAUACCUGUGGCAAUACGAAAGCAUAGAAAUAAGUAGGUUGAUCUAUUUUUCUGCAUAACAUUUAUAACUUGUUACUGAUUAGAAUGGGGAAAAAGUUGAGAUACAGUCAAGGUUUUCUUUUCCUUAAUUUCAAUGAUUGCUUAUAGAGCAUGUGAAACUGAACUCACCCAUGGGAAAAUUUCUGCCUGAACAGCAUUAGUGCAAAGACUACAAGUUUGCACCAGCUUUGUAAAUAUUUGGACACUUGACUCAAUGCUUAACACACUUUGGAAAAUCUCCUGGUGUUAAGAGAGAAAGUAUUAGAUAUGAAAAUCUGUGAGAAUAAAUCACUUCUAAGCUUUGAUUUUUGUGACUACAGAGAAAGACUUUGACUCUGAUGUAACUGAGUGUCUAAAAGUAUUAAAAAAUCAAUAUCUCUUAUCUGCAAGAAUCCUUCUAAUGGCUUAAUGCUCUGUCUUCCAGGAGAUGAGUGUUAAUUGUGUCAAUUGCUCUUUGUGGCAGGAAAAGGACUUGUCUGUCAAAUGCUUUUCAAUCGCCAAGAAGUUUGAGGUACCUGGAGAAUGCUUCCUCCUGUCAACCCUCAUCCUGCUCUCAUUGCCUUUGUUAUCUGCACUAGUCCAUCUCUACACACCCCCAUGUACAUUUUUCUGAUGAACUUAUGUAUCCUGAAAAUUGGUUACACUAGUUCUGUCAUACCCAAUAUAUGGAGAGCCUUGAAAGUGAGAUCUGAGGAAUCUCUCAGGAGGGAUGUGCCACACAGACGUUUUUCUUCACACUUUUUGUAUAAUUGAGUGCUGCCUAUUGCCAGCCAUGGCCUUUGUCCACUGUAUGGCCCUGCUUCAUUCUGCAGCCCAAAUGAGUAGUGAGGUAUGUUCCCACAAGGCAAGUGUUUCACGGGGAAUAGGUUGCCUUGUAGGGUUGGGAAAAAACUACUUGAGAUCCAAAUCUAACCACCCACAAGGAGUUGAAAAAUUAUUGGUCAUCUUCCAUACCACAGUGAUAUCCAUGCUGAACCCAUCAUCUUUGCUUAAAGUACGAAGAAGUCAAGACAGGACUGAAAAGAACUCUGGGUCUGAAGAAAGUUCUGAUAAUAAAUAGAUGACAGAUAUCCUCCUAAUGCUUAACUGCGAUAAGCGAAGCAAGAAACACUUUGUGGUAUCUGUGGCAAGUACAUAUAAUCUCAACCUAAAAGAGGAAAACCACUGGGCAAAUCCAAAUUCAGAGACAUUCUUGCAAGUUGUACAUAUGCUUGUUCACAUGUGCAACACAUGCAUGCCUACUGUCCAGGAGGUUGAAGAAGGUGUGAGGUUCCGUGAUGCUGAAAUUACAGCCACUUGUGAGCUGUCAACGGGUUCUCUGGAAGAACAGGUAAUGCUAUUAAUCACCGAAUCAUUCAUUCAUCUGCAGCAAACACCAUUUUUUGUAAAUAUAGUGACUAAAUUGUCCUGUCUUCUGCAUAGACUACUGUUUUCUCAAAUGUGAUAAUUUAAUAUUAAACAUA